GGUUAUGACUCAGUGGUAGAGCUCCUGCCUCACAAGUUCGAGGCCCUGGGUUCGAUCCUCAGCACCA
rnacentral:tRNA from 1 species